rnacentral:misc_RNA from 1 species
GCAUAACCCAAAAAUCCGAAACCCUAUUUCCAAAAGCCCUUUUCCUUCGCUCUAUUCUCAGUCACAGCUAAAAGUCAUGGGUCAGGGAACGCCCGGCGGACUUAACCGGCAAUUGCCCGGCGACCGGAAAAACGAUGGAGACAAGAAGGAGAAGAAGUUCGAACCAGCUGCUCCACCGGCACGCGUUGGUCGUAAGCAGCGCAAACAGAAAGGUUCCGAAGCGGCAGCUCGGAUACCAGCCGUUACGCCGCUGACCAAGUGCAAGCUUCGUCUCCUAAAGCUUGAGAGAAUUAAGGAUUAUUUGUUAAUGGAAGAAGAAUUUGUGGCUAAUCAGGAACGGUUGAAACCUCAGGAAGAGAAGACUGAGGAGGAUCGAUCUAAAGUUGAUGAUCUACGUGGAUCUCCAAUGAGUGUGGGGAAUUUGGAGGAGCUUAUUGAUGAGAAUCAUGCUAUUGUUUCGUCGUCUGUGGGACCAGAGUAUUAUGUUGGGAUCUUAUCGUUUGUUGAUAAAGAUCAACUCGAACCAGGAUGUGCUAUCUUGAUGCAUAACAAGGUUCUAUCUGUUGUUGGGCUUCUGCAAGACGAUGUUGAUCCAAUGGUGUCUGUCAUGAAGGUUGAGAAAGCUCCCUUGGAAUCGUAUGCUGACAUUGGUGGAUUAGAUGCCCAGAUCCAGGAAAUUAAAGAAGCAGUUGAGCUUCCUUUGACUCACCCCGAGUUAUAUGAAGACAUUGGUAUUAAACCUCCUAAAGGGGUAAUUCUGUAUGGAGAGCCUGGGACCGGCAAAACCUUACUUGCCAAGGCUGUUGCAAACUCCACUUCAGCAACUUUCCUGCGUGUUGUGGGAAGUGAACUGAUUCAGAAGUAUUUGGGAGAUGGGCCUAAAUUGGUCAGGGAGCUCUU